GUGGGCCCCCGAACUGAUUCGGGCUCGGCCGAUCCUCCCACCCUUUGUGUACCUACCUCUGUUGCUUUGGCGGGCCGCGGUCCUCCGCGGCCGCCCCCCUCCCCGGGGGGGUGGCCAGCGCCCGCCAGAGGACCAUCAAACUCCAGUCAGUAAACGAUGCAGUCUGAAAAACAUUUAAUAAACUAAAACUUUCAACAACGGAUCUCUUGGUUCUGGCAUCGAUGAAGAACGCAGCGAAAUGCGAUAAGUAAUGUGAAUUGCAGAAUUCAGUGAAUCAUCGAAUCUUUGAACGCACAUUGCGCCCUUUGGUAUUCCGAAGGGCAUGCCUGUUCGAGCGUCAUUACAACCCUCAAGCUCUGCUUGGUAUUGGGCACCGUCCUUUGCGGGCGCGCCUCAAAGACCUCGGCGGUGGCGUCUUGCCUCAAGCGUAGUAGAACAUACAUCUCGCUUCGGAGCGCAGGGCGUCGCCCGCCGGACGAACCUUCUGAACUUUUCUCAAGGUUGACCUCGGAUCAGGUAGGGAUACCCGCUGAACUUAAGCAUAUCAAUAACCCGGAGGAA
rnacentral:rRNA from 1 species